rnacentral:rRNA from 1 species
GAUGAACGCUGGCGGCGUGCCUAAUACAUGCAAGUCGAGCGAACGGACGAGAAGCUUGCUUCUCUGAUGUUAGCGGCGGACGGGUGAGUAACACGUGGAUAACCUACCUAUAAGACUGGGAUAACUUCGGGAAACCGGAGCUAAUACCGGAUAAUAUUUUGAACCGCAUGGUUCAAAAGAGAAGGACGGUCUUGCUGUCACUUAUAGAUGGAUCCACGCUGCAUUAGCUAGUUGGUAAGGUAACGGCUUACCAAGGCAACGAUGCAUAGCCGACCUGAGAGGGUGAUCGCCCACACUGGAACUGAGCCACGGUCCAGACUCCUGCGGGAGGCAGCAGUAGGGAAUCUGCCGCAAUGGGCGAAAGCCUGACGGAGCAACGCCGCGUGAGUGAUGAAGGUCUUCGGAUCGUAAAACUCUGUUAUUAGGGAAGAACAUAUGUGUAAGUAACUGUGCACAUCUUGACGGUACCUAAUCAGAAAGCCACGGCUAACUACGUG